rnacentral:rRNA from 1 species
AACGUAGGUGGCGAGCGUUAUCCGGAUUCAUUGGGCGUAAAGAGCUUGUAGGCGGCUUGGUAAGUUGGACGUGAAAACCCCGGGCUUAACUUGGGGAGGCCGUUCAAUACUGCCGGGCUGGAGGGUGUCAGAGGGCAGUGGAAUUCCUGGUGUAGCAGUGAAAUGCGUAGAUAUCAGGAGGAACAUCCGUGGCGAAGGCGGCUGCCUGGGGCGCACCUGACGCUGAGAAGCGAAAGCUAGGGGAGCAAACGGG